UUAAGCGACUAAGCGUACACGGUGGAUGCCCUGGCAGUCAGAGGCGAUGAAGGACGUGCUAAUCUGCGAAAAGCGUCGGUAAGGUGAUAUGAACCGUUAUAGCCGGCGAUGUCCGAAUGGGGAAACCCAGUGUGAUUCGUCACACUAUCGUUAACUGAAUACAUAGGUUAACGAGGCGAACCGGGGGAACUGAAACAUCUAAGUACCCCGAGGAAAAGAAAUCAACCGAGAUUCCCCCAGUAGCGGCGAGCGAACGGGGAGCAGCCCAGAGUCUGAAUCAGCUUGUGUGUUAGUGGAACGGUCUGGAAAGUCCGACGGUACAGGGUGAUAGUCCCGUACACCAAAAUGCACAGGCUGUGAACUCGAAGAGUAGGGCGGGACACGUGGUAUCCUGUCUGAAUAUGGGGGGACCAUCCUCCAAGGCUAAAUACUCCUGACUGACCGAUAGUGAACCAGUACCGUGAGGGAAAGGCGAAAAGAACCCCGGCGAGGGGAGUGAAAAAGAACCUGAAACCGUGUACGUACAAGCAGUGGGAGCACCUUUAUGGUGUGACUGCGUACCUUUUGUAUAAUGGGUCAGCGACUUAUAUUCUGUAGCAAGGUUAACCGUAUAGGGGAGCCGCAGGGAAACCGAGUCUUAACUGGGCGUUAAGUUGCAGGGUAUAGACCCGAAACCCGGUGAUCUAGCCAUGGGCAGGUUGAAGGUUGGGUAACACUAACUGGAGGACCGAACCGACUAAUGUUGAAAAAUUAGCGGAUGACUUGUGGCUGGGGGUGAAAGGCCAAUCAAACCGGGAGAUAGCUGGUUCUCCCCGAAAGCUAUUUAGGUAGCGCCUCGUGAAUUCAUCUUCGGGGUAGAGCACUGUUUCGGCUAGGGGGUCAUCCCGACUUACCAACCCGAUGCAAACUACGAAUACCGAAGAAUGUUAUCACGGGAGACACACGGCGGGUGCUAACGUCCGUCGUGAAGAGGGAAACAACCCAGACCGCCAGCUAAGGUCCCAAAGUCAUGGUUAAGUGGGAAACGAUGUGGGAAGGCACAGACAGCCAGGAUGUUGGCUUAGAAGCAGCCAUCAUUUAAAGAAAGCGUAAUAGCUCACUGGUCGAGUCGGCCUGCGCGGAAGAUGUAACGGGGCUAAACCAUGCACCGAAGCUGCGGCAGCGACACGAUGUGUUGUUGGGUAGGGGAGCGUUCUGUAAGCCUGCGAAGGUGACCUGUGAGGGUUGCUGGAGGUAUCAGAAGUGCGAAUGCUGACAUAAGUAACGAUAAAGCGGGUGAAAAGCCCGCUCGCCGGAAGACCAAGGGUUCCUGUCCAACGUUAAUCGGGGCAGGGUGAGUCGACCCCUAAGGCGAGGCCGAAAGGCGUAGUCGAUGGGAAACAGGUUAAUAUUCCUGUACUUGGUGUUACUGCGAAGGGGGGACGGAGAAGGCUAUGUUAGCCGGGCGACGGUUGUCCCGGUUUAAGCAUGUAGGCUGGUUAUCCAGGCAAAUCCGGAUAAUCAAGGCUGAGGUGUGAUGACGAAGCACUACGGUGCUGAAGUAACAAAUGCCCUGCUUCCAGGAAAAGCCUCUAAGCAUCAGGUAACAUCAAAUCGUACCCCAAACCGACACAGGUGGUCAGGUAGAGAAUACCAAGGCGCUUGAGAGAACUCGGGUGAAGGAACUAGGCAAAAUGGUGCCGUAACUUCGGGAGAAGGCACGCUGGUGUGUAGGUGAAGCCCCUGCGGGUGGAGCUGAGACCAGUCGAAGAUACCAGCUGGCUGCAACUGUUUAUUAAAAACACAGCACUGUGCAAACACGAAAGUGGACGUAUACGGUGUGACGCCUGCCCGGUGCCGGAAGGUUAAUUGAUGGGGUUAUCCGUAAGGAGAAGCUCUUGAUCGAAGCCCCGGUAAACGGCGGCCGUAACUAUAACGGUCCUAAGGUAGCGAAAUUCCUUGUCGGGUAAGUUCCGACCUGCACGAAUGGCGUAAUGAUGGCCAGGCUGUCUCCACCCGAGACUCAGUGAAAUUGAACUCGCUGUGAAGAUGCAGUGUACCCGCGGCAAGACGGAAAGACCCCGUGAACCUUUACUAUAGCUUGACACUGAACAUUGAGCCUUGAUGUGUAGGAUAGGUGGGAGGCUUUGAAGCGUGGACGCCAGUCUGCGUGGAGCCAACCUUGAAAUACCACCCUUUAAUGUUUGAUGUUCUAACGUUGGCCCCUUAUCGGGGUUGCGGACAGUGUCUGGUGGGUAGUUUGACUGGGGCGGUCUCCUCCCAAAGCGUAACGGAGGAGCACGAAGGUUAGCUAAUCCUGGUCGGACAUCAGGAGGUUAGUGCAAUGGCAUAAGCUAGCUUGACUGCGAGCGUGACGGCGCGAGCAGGUGCGAAAGCAGGUCAUAGUGAUCCGGUGGUUCUGAAUGGAAGGGCCAUCGCUCAACGGAUAAAAGGUACUCCGGGGAUAACAGGCUGAUACCGCCCAAGAGUUCAUAUCGACGGCGGUGUUUGGCACCUCGAUGUCGGCUCAUCACAUCCUGGGGCUGAAGUAGGUCCCAAGGGUAUGGCUGUUCGCCAUUUAAAGUGGUACGCGAGCUGGGUUUAGAACGUCGUGAGACAGUUCGGUCCCUAUCUGCCGUGGGCGCUGGAGAAUUGAGGGGGGCUGCUCCUAGUACGAGAGGACCGGAGUGGACGCAUCACUGGUGUUCGGGUUGUCAUGCCAAUGGCACUGCCCGGUAGCUAAAUGCGGAAGAGAUAAGUGCUGAAAGCAUCUAAGCACGAAACUUGCCCCGAGAUGAGUUCUCCCUGAGACUUUAAGUCUCCUGAAGGAACGUUAAAGACGAUGACGUUGAUAGGCCGGGUGUGUAAGCGCAGCGAUGCGUUGAGCUAACCGGUACUAAUGAACCGUGAGGCUUAACCU
rnacentral:rRNA from 1 species